rnacentral:rRNA from 1 species
AAUCAACGCUGGCGGCGCGCCUAACACAUGCAAGUCGAACGAGAACGGUCUUCCGCUUUUAGCAAUAAGAGCGGGGGCCUAGUACAGUGGCGAACGGGUGAGUAACACGUGGGUAAUCUACCCUCAAGUGGGGGAUAACCCGGGGAAACCUGGGCUAAUACCGCAUAAUAUCCGCAAGGAUCAAAGGAGCAAUUCGCUCGAGGAUGAGCCCGCGGCCGAUUAGCUAGUUGGCGGGGUAACGGCCCACCAAGGCUCUGAUCGGUAGCCGGUCUGAGAG